AUGAAGAAAUUUAAUCCAAAUUUUUCCCUUUUUUUAUUGAGAAAUGUCCCAGUUUGGGCUGAGGGGUCACUCAGUGGUCACUCAGUGGUCACUCAACGGUCACUCAAUGACCGGGCCAAGGGUCACUCAAUGGUCAUUCAGUGGUCACUCAGUGGUCACUCAAUGGUCAUUCAGUGGUCACUCAGUGGUCACUCAAUGGUCACUCCGUGGUCAUUCCUUGACCAAUCCAGGGGUCACUCAUUGGUCACUCAGCGGUCACUCAGUGGUCACUUCCAGGCCAAUCCAGUGGUCACUCAGUGGUCACUCAGUGGUCACUCAGUGGUCACUCAGUGGUCACUCAGUGGUCACUCAGGGGUCACUCAGUGGUCACUCAGUGGUCACUCAGGGUCACUCAGGGGUCACUCAUUGGUCACUCAGCGGUCACUCAGGGGUCACUCAUUGGUCACUCAGGGGUCACCGCGGGGUCAAAGGUCACUGACCUGCUCGCCCAGGUUGCUGAAGGCGUUCCCGUAGGCCCCGCCCCCCACAAGCCCCUCCCCCAGCGCCAGCGCCGCGGCCACGCCCAGCCCGGGCAGGAGGUGAUUGACAGCCACGGCGGCCAAUAGGAACGAGG
rnacentral:lncRNA from 1 species